CAGCAGCCGCGGUAAUACGGAGGGUGCAAGCGUUAAUCGGAAUUACUGGGCGUAAAGCGCACGCAGGCGGUCUGUCAAGUCAGAUGUGAAAUCCCCGGGCUUAACCUGGGAACUGCAUUUGAAACUGGCAGGCUAGAGUCUUGUAGAGGGGGGUAGAAUUCCAGGUGUAGCGGUGAAAUGCGUAGAGAUCUGGAGGAAUACCGGUGGCGAAGGCGGCCCCCUGGACAAAGACUGACGCUCAGGUGCGAAAGCGUGGGGAGCAAACAGGAUUAGAUACCCCGGUAGUCCCUGUCUCUUAUAC
rnacentral:rRNA from 1 species